UAGGGAAUCUUCGGCAAUGGACGAAAGUCUGACCGAGCAACGCCGCGUGAGUGAAGAAGGUUUUCGGAUCGUAAAACUCUGUUGUUAGAGAAGAACAAGGACGUUAGUAACUGAACGUCCCCUGACGGUAUCUAACCAGAAAGCCACGGCUAACUACGUGCCAGCAGCCGCGGUAAUACGUAGGUGGCAAGCGUUGUCAGGAUUUAUUGGGCGUAAAGCGAGCGCAGGCGGUUUCUUAAGUCUGAUGUGAAAGCCCCCGGCUCAACCGGGGAGGGUCAUUGGAAACUGGGAGACUUGAGUGCAGAAGAGGAGAGUGGAAUUCCAUGUGUAGCGGUGAAAUGCGUAGAUAUAUGGAGGAACACCAGUGGCGAAGGCGGCUCUCUGGUCUGUAACUGACGCUGAGGCUCGAAAGCGUGGGGAGCAAACAGG
rnacentral:rRNA from 1 species